AGGGUUGUGGCUCAGUGGUAGAGUGCUUGCCUACCAUUCGAGAGGUACUGGGUUCGUUCCCCAGCACCACUU
rnacentral:tRNA from 1 species